rnacentral:rRNA from 1 species
AUGAACGCUGGCGGCGUGCCUAAUACAUGCAAGUCGAGCGAACGGACGAGAAGCUUGCUUCUCUGAUGUUAGCGGCGGACGGGUGAGUAACACGUGGAUAACCUACCUAUAAGGCUGGGAUAACUUCGGGAAACCGGAGCUAAUACCGGAUAAUAUUUUGAACCGCAUGGUUCAAAAGUGAAAGACGGUCUUGCUGUCACUUAUAGAUGGAUCCGCGCUGCAUUAGCUAGUUGGUAAGGUAACGGCUUACCAAGGCAACGAUGCAUAGCCGACCUGAGAGGGUGAUCGGCCACACUGGAACUGAGACACGGUCCAGACUCCUACGGGAGGCAGCAGUAGGGAAUCUUCCGCAAUGGGCGAAAGCCUGACGGAGCAACGCCGCGUGAGUGAUGAAGGUCUUCGGAUCGUAAAACUCUGUUAUUAGGGAAGAACAUAUGUGUAAGUAACUGUGCACAUCUUGACGGUACCUAAUCAGAAAGCCACGGCUAACUACGUG